rnacentral:other from 1 species
AAAGUCCUGAAGUGUUCGUCAUUUGUAAAUUAGCAUUGACCCAACAUCAAAUCGUCGGGAGUCUGAGUUAUAGCCCAGCUGGCAUGCCUUUAACCGGGACGUCAAAAGUGUUAUAUAGGACACCCACCUGCUUUUAGCGGGUUCAAAGCGAUAUUCAAAGACGGCACAGUCGGGAUUUUU